CAGCCGCCACGGGAAUACGUAGGUGGCAAGCGUUGUCCGGAAUUAUUGGGCGUAAAGGGCUCGCAGGCGGUUUCUUAAGUCUGAUGUGAAAGCCCCCGGCUCAACCGGGGAGGGUCAUUGGAAACUGGGAAACUUGAGUGCAGAAGAGGAGAGUGGAAUUCCACGUGUAGCGGUGAAAUGCGUAGAGAUGUGGUGGAACACCAGUGGCGAAGGCGACUCUCUGGUCUGUAACUGACGCUGAGGAGCGAAAGCGUGGGGAGCGAACAGGAUUAGAUACCCGCGUAGUCCCUGUCUCUUAUAC
rnacentral:rRNA from 1 species